rnacentral:rRNA from 1 species
CAGUAGCCACGGUAAUACGAAGGGUGCAAGCGUUAAUCGGAGUUACUGGGCGUAAAGCGUGCGUAGGCGGUUUGUUAAGUCUGUUGUGAAAUCCCCGGGCUCAACCUGGGAAUGGCAAUGGAUACUGGCAAGCUAGAGUGUGUCAGAGGAUAGUGGAAUUCCCGGUGUAGCGGUGAAAUGCGUAGAGAUCGGGAGGAACAUCAGUGGCGAAGGCGGCCAUCUGGGACAACACUGACGCUGAGGCACGAAAGCGUGGGGAGCAAACAGGAUUAGAUACCCCCGUAGUCCCUGUCUCUUAUAC